AUGCCUCUUAGGUCUCUUCUCUGAGCUAUACCCAAAGUACCAUCUGCUGCCCCUUCCUGCAGCUGUCCACAGGCUCUGCUCUGACAGCCAAAGCUCAGGGAAGAAGACCUUUAUGACUCUUCUAGGAUUGGGCUAGACAGAUUGUCAUUAAGUAGGGAGUAUGUAGGCAAGGUUUUAAAGAAGCAGGCCUCCCAAGUGGCCUGUUCUGCCCUACAAGCAUUUUCUCUGGACCCAGUCACUCCCUGGAAGUCCAGUGUGAAAAUGAAGACCACAGUGUCAAUUUCCGUGAGGGAGGGAAGGAUGGAAGUCAGCAAGUCCUCCUGGGAGAAGGUGAACUGGGGACCCUGGGGCAGAAGAAGAUGGGAGGAUCCCUCCCAUGAAAACACUCUAAAGUACAGACUUGAGGACUAAAGGGGGCCGUGGAGGAGAUCUAACACUUUUGUAUACAGAUGAAAGAGCUGAGGUUCAAAAGCCUCCCCCAGGGCUGCCCAGUCAUUCCAGAAGGCUCACCUGGCCAUGCUCACUGGAUUGAAGCCAACCAGGACUGGC